rnacentral:rRNA from 1 species
CAAUAGCGUAUAUUAAAGUUGUUGCAGUUAAAAAGCUCGUAGUUGAAUUUCUGGCGGGCGCGCCGGUCUUCCAAGUGUUGUACUGGGCGCAGUCCGCCAUCCUUGUGGAGAGGGCUCGCAUUGAGUUGCGUGUCGGAUCUGCAUCAUUUACUGUGAAAAAAUUAGAGUGUUUAAAGCAGGCUGUCGCUUGAAUACAUUAGCAUGGAAUAAUAAGAUAGGACUUCGGUCUAUUUUGUUGGUUGCGAACCGAGGUAAUGAUUAAUAGGGAUAGUUGGGGGUAUUCAUAUUUAAUUGUCAGAGGUGAAAUUCUUGGAUUUAUGAAAGAUGAACAACUGCGAAAGCACUUACCAAGGAUGUUUUCAUUA